UAACAAAUUUAUAUUCAGAUUUUGAUGUUUUAUUUAAGAUUGCACUUUUUUUUUUACUACUUAAGUUCUGUUAACAGUCUAGGAGUUUUAUAUAAUUGCUUUGAAUAACCUCACUGUCUUGAUGAAGUAAUGAGUAUUAUAUCUGUUUUUGUUGUGGAAUUUAUUUAUUAAAGAAUAUAUAUAUAUAUAUGUACAUAUAUAUAUAUAAUUUUGAUAAUAUUCAGAAAGCAGAGGCAACUUUAAAUGUAACAACCCUGCAGUUACUUUUGUUAAACAUUAAUAAUUGGCUCUGAAAAAUCCAACUUACCAAAGUCCUUCUAGUACCUAGUGAUCAUGUGUAUUUUUUUGGUAGAGUAAUAGUAGAUAUUGGGAAUUUGGCUUCUAAAAUGAGUUUUAUAUCAUGACAAAUUUCAAGGACUUUAUUGUAGAAUUGGUAGUUCUUCAUAUAUAAUCAUACUUUUUUCUCUUACAAGCAAGUAAAGAAAUACACAUUGUUUUCUAACUUCACUGUCUGGGAUGCAAUGAUUUUUUUUCCCCCCAGCGGCUUUUGUUUCUGGCUAAUAAGAUGUCCUUUUACAGUUUCCUAAUAAGCAGUUUGUUCUUUGUGUCUCAUUGUUUUAUCCACAGUCCAUGAAAUACAUAAUUUCUUGUUCCUUGUUGUACCUGUGAAUGCAGUACUCCGGGCACAUAUUUACUCUUAACUGUGUCCUUGUCACGUGUUGAAGCCACACUGUUGAAACUGUUUGAGAGCUAGGCUUGGCUUGCUUUGGUUCGGGUUGGUUUGGUUUGGUUUGGUUUCUUUUGUUUAUUUUCUUUCUUCUUCUUCUUCUUCUUCUUCUUCUUCUUCUUCUUCUUCUUCUCUCUCUCUCUCUCUCUCUCUCUCUCUCUCUCUCUCUCUCUAUCUCUCUCUCUAUCACGGUUUUGGUUAUUUGAGACAGAGUUUCUGUGCAUAACUCUGAAUGUUCUGGAACUCACUCUGUAGACCAGGCUGGCCUGGAACUCAGAAAUCUGCCUGCCUCUGCCUCCCGAGUGCUGGAUUAAAGGCGUGCGCCACCACUGCCCAGUGUGUAUUUUCUUCAUGCAGUGCAUUUCAAGACAGUUACCGUGUUGAGACAAAAAGAUCUACAUAUGUGUGACUCGAUUCUGUCCCCAAAAGAGCUUCACCUGAUUUCAGGACAAUAGGAAGCCUGGAGAAGAGCAUCAGUGAAGCCAAGGGUUGUACUGAGCAUCUUUUGAGUCAUUAAGAAGCAUAGAAAGGAGAGAGCAGUAAUUCUGAUAUAUUUCUGGGCUUUAAGACAUAAAAGUUUAUGCAUAACAUCAUUAGACUAUCAGAAAUCUACAUUUCAUAUUUCAACCUCAUAAUUAUUUCUAUAGUGUCUGUGCUGGGAUUAAAUUCUGUUUUGAUUUUUUCAGCUUCCUUCUUCAGAACACAAUGUGUCUCCACUCUCUUCUUAAACACUUUUUUACUUGUAUAUAGACAUAAUUUAAUACUACAACUUGCCUUAGCUGAGAAAAAGAAAAAUUAAGCUUUUUUUCUAACAGAUUUUAUAAUAUUUUAGGACAUCACAAUAAUUUUCUAAUAUUUUCUUCUGGAGGAGAACUAUCAGAAUGUUUAGAAAUUGUUAGAUAUUUAAAUUUUUGUGUUCUACCUACCAUAAGCAUGGUUCUGGUUUAUUUAUUUCUUACGAUGUGGUGGGCUAGCAUGGAUUACAACAAUAGUCCUAUAUGUUUCCUGAGCUCCGUCACCUAUACAGAUUUCUCAUCCUUGCGCAGUUACAUAUGUGUGCUGUGAUUCUGGCCACUUGUCACAGAAUGGAUGCUGACUCUCUCAUUCCUGGUUUGACUCUGUUGUAUCCCUAUCUGAUGUGUUCUUUCAUAAUUGUAAAUUAAGAGGGGAAUAGGGCAGCAACUUCUUAAUAACCCUGCUGGAAAGAGAUGUGUGUCAUGCGAAUUCAAGAGAGGCAUGUGUUAUCAUUCUGGAUGUCCACAAGGGUGGGAUGCCAUGGAAAUCACUGAGCAUUGUUGCAGCAGUGCGGAGGAACAUGUCACCCACCCUACCUGGAAUGCCAUCUGUGGGCACCAGAACCGGAAUUGACUGUCUUGCUGUUAAUUGUGUAUAUCAGUGUGGCUGUGUGCACAUGAGUGCAGUGCUUGCAGAGGCCAGAGGAGGCAUUUUGUCUCCUGGAGCUGGAGGUAAACAGCUAUCCUGAGCAACCCAAGGCGAGUGCAACAUGUUCUUGAGCACUUGAGCUGUAUCUCCAGGUCCUUGUUGUAUACCUAUAGCAGGUCUAUUGUUGGAGGCAGGCAGCAGAAAUGGCUUCUGUUGUAUCUCUACUAAACAGCACUGCUUCUCCACCACUGUACUCAGCAAGGAGCACUUUAUGCUGAGAGAGCAACUCUUUAAGUUGCUCAUUUUUAAACUUUUAAUUUAACUUUUUAUGUUGAUUAUUGUGUGUAUGUAUGCGUGUAUAUGCACAUGCAUAUGGUGUGUAUGUGAGACAGGUGUGUGGAGGUCAGAGCUUGCUUUUCUCCUUCCCAUAUAGGCUUUUGGACUUAAACUCAGAUGGCCAGGCCUGGUAGCAAGAGCCUGUAUCAUGCAUGCACAAGUCCCACAUGAUCUCUAGGUGGUAGAGAAGGACCGUAUCCCAGGCUGUGAAUGUCCUAAGGAGAACAAUGUAUUCUUGCCCUAUCAACUCUGCCACCUCUUUAUGGCUCUUAGAAAGCUCUCUGCAAUAGCAGCCACGUACAAUUUCCAAAGGUGGUACUACAAUUUCUUAGUUGGUUCAGACCACAGUUGCCUUUUGAUCAAAUCACCUCUACGCUCUCGUGGUCUAGAGGGAGGUAAAUGAACAGUGCCGGACAAAGAUAUACUUCACUAGUCUUGCUUUCUGAGCAAACUAGAGCCUUGGAUUUCUUUCUUGGCUUCCCGUGGGAGGUUGACAAAUUAGAUCGUGGACUGACAUUGUUGAAUGUGCAGCGUGACUCAAACACAGCAUGUGCGAACCCUAGGAUGGGUUAUCAGCAUAUCACCGACUCUCUACAAUUUUAAGCUUCACUCAAGCCAGGUUCCUAGCUUUUUGAUAAAGCUGUUUAUUGUGCAGCAGUAUUACUUGAUAAGUGAAGUUUAAUGGCUUUACUCAUUAGAAUCCUGUCCCCAGAGAAUAAGACACUGGCAAGGCAAUAGAAUAAUGAUCUCAAAUUGGUUUUCAGCUGCCCUUAGACAGUCUAGAAACAUUAACCAUUUUAUUGUAAAAUAGCUGAAUUUAUAUUUUAAUGCUCCUUUAUGGCCGUCUCCUAAACCUUCUUGCAAUUGAGUUUUAUUUUCUACCUUUUAUGUCCACACACAUGGAUGCAGAGGUACAUAUUUGUAGGUCCAGUCUCUUCCCGUUUCUCUCCACCCUGUUUUUAAAGCCAGGUUCUCUCACUGAGCCUGCCGUUGACCACUGACUGGACACAGUGGCCACUGAGCUCCAGGAUUUUGCUGCUGUCUUCCUAGCACUGGGGUUAUGGGCUCUUGCUGUGACAGCUGACCUUUACAUGAGUUUUAAGGAUUCAAAUUCAUGCUGUGAUGUUUGCAAAAUAGUCACUUUACAGACUGAGCCUGCUAUCCAGCCCACUCGACUGUGUUUUAAGGAAGACCUGUAUGUGCCAAUUGCAAGGCACAUCCUUCAUAUAGCAUCUCCCGCUACAGAACUUGCUGGCGAAGGUGGAACCAAGUGUCUCAUUCUCCCCACCAACUCCUUCAAAGAAACCUGAUCACUUUUUAGCAUCAAUGUGUUCCUGUUAAUAUUUCAACUUAAAUUACUUUGAGUUUAAUUGCACUCCAAUGUUUUAUAUGAGCACAUAUAACCCAUUUUUUAGUUCUGAAGCAAGAUGUGUAUGAGUUUCAUCAUCUGAUUGUUUUAGCUUUUGGAAUAAUUAAUUUGGCUCAUUUUGAUUCCUUAUCCCUUGCAUCUUCCCUCUCUUCAUUUCUUUCUAUUGUAUUUUAUGAUUAACAAUUAGUCCCAUUAAACUCUCUUGUGCAUAAAAGUUUACUCUUUUUAAUUCCAUAUAGAUUUAUAUGAAAAUAGGAAACUAACUGGUUGCACGUUGUACAAAGAUAGGGACUUGAGAUUCCUUGUUACUGAUAUACAUUGGAGUACCCAAGUUACCCUGGAAGACUCCCCUCUCUUAAUAGUGUUUUUAGAUGGUAUUCACUGGAGAUUUAUGACGGAGAGUUUUUCUAUUGAAAAUGUAACUAGAUGCCUGGCAUUUGGAGCACCUGAAUGAACUUAAUUGAAAACUGCUAAGGCCUGUAAAACUAACAUUACACACAGAGAGCAUAGAGUUUUAAAUCACAAAUCCAGCUUUCAGGAAAGGAUCGCGUUGACUUGUGAUACUUAGGUGGUGUUAUGUUUUAAAUCCCAGGGAGAAAUUAUUAAGCCCAGUAGAAGUAUAGUGAUGAGUGCUUUCCUCGAUGCUCUGAAGCCCUCAGGGAAAGCCUUUGAAAUCCAUAAGGAACCCUGGCAUUAAGUUUGGUCAGGAAAAAGAAGGAUUGUGAAAUGGAAUAAACUCAUCCCUGUGGCCUAGGACAGGACAGGGCUUCCUGGUAUUUGAAGAAAAAGAUAGACACUGCACUGUCCUUUGCCAACACAACACUUUUAUUGAUGACGUUCUCCUUGGUGUCAAUGAAUAACUUGACAUUGCAGUCAUAGAACUUGUUACAAAAAGGGUAUCUCAUGAACGCAGGCUCCAAGUACCAUUUGAGGUUUGUUUUUUUGUUUUUUUUUUUUUAAUAUUUCUUUUGGAAGAUUGGCGUGUAUUGAGUGUAUUAAAUAUUAUUUAAUGUAUUGCAUAAGCUCCAUGUUUUGUUUUUCUUUGCAUAAAUUUACAUUUAAAGAAAAUAUACUGAGCUUUUUCAGCAAACGAUCCAUGGUCUUUCCUAAAGCGUCUCCUAACUUACCCUAUUGUGAAUCCAUCUAUGCAGACAACUGAUAGAUUCUGCAAAGGCUACUGUGCUGUAAUAAUAAAAAAAAUUCUCAAGUUAACCUUUUGGGGUGUCCAAGGGUGACAAGAACAAGAUGGAAUGGACUUCAUCCUUAUGAGGAGACCUGUGUCUUGGAAAGCAUUCUGCCUUGCUUUGCAAGGUAUGUAUUCAAGCACUGCAAGACUGAGAGGUGACGGCUCCACCCACUUCCUUCCUCACAUGUCUAGUCACAGAUGCAUAGUUCAUUAAUACACAGUGCUCUCUGCCUGUGCUGGGGAGCUCACUGCACUCCUGGUUUUGUCUGAGAACUUCUGUGAAAUUAACACUUUAAAUUAAUGGAUGCAGGAGCUGUCAAAAAAUGUUUUCAAAUCAAAUAAUUUGACUAUUCCUAAAAUAAUAGAAUUUCAAGUUUAUUUCAUUUGUCUGAUGAAAUAUUAUAGCCUUCACUGAGAAUCAGUGUCUUGCUUUCCUAAUAGACCUUCAAAAAUGGCAAUUAAAGUAGAAAAAAAAUCUAACGAAAAUUUAAAAAAACAUAUUUAAGCAUGAAAAUAUUUAGGGAUAUUUUCCUAUAAUUGCUUUACAUAUAGUGUAAUGGUUUUUCGUGAAUGAGAACUGUAAGCCACAUGUGAAUAAUAGCACAUUUGUGUUUGCAUUUAUGGAAGAUAGUUAAGUGCUAAUACAUUUAAUAGGUAUAAUCUGUGUUUUCCUGUUAAAGUUUUAUAUGGAUUUUAUGGCUUUCUGGGUAACAUUAACAUGAGAUGCUGCUUGAAGGGAAAAAAAUACUUUAAAAUAAUUAUUUCCCUAGUGUUUGCUUUUAUAUAAAUCAGGUUAGCAGAUUUCUGUGUAGUUUCCGUGUUAUGUAUGAAACUAUACAGCAGUCUAGUUACAUUUUCUUGCUUAGUGUUCUGAUGUGUGUGGCAACACACCCCUAACUAUGUGCAGACUAAUAAGUGUGAUUAAUCCCAAGUGCCAAACCUGUACUUUCAUUUACUUACUUUCCUAAAUAAGUACGUUUAUUUAUUUUCCUCUCAUACUUCAACCACCGUUUCUAGUGUUGUCUGAGCACUUAAGUAAAAUUAAUAUUUUAAUAUAUGGGUAGUGGACCUGUCCAAAGUUUUCAAAUCAAAUCCCUUGAUUAUAAAAUAAUAGAAUUUUAAUUUUUUCCGAUUUGUCUAAUAAAAUGUUAUGACUUUCAUCAAAGACCACUUGGUAUUAUAUAAAUAGUCAAAAGGUUAUAUUAUCCAGCUCUUAGUGAUGCCAAAUUAACACACUUCACUGGAAUGCUAGGAAAGUUUUGGGGACUUUCACAACUAUCCUUGCCUGGGAUGUUUCUAUAAUGUGAAAAGUUAGACCAUUGUCUAUAAGAAAGCUUUUGUGAAAAAUAAAUUAAACCAGAGGCUGGCAAGAUGGUUUAGCAGUGAAGAGAGCUACCUGGUCUUGCCAAAGACUAUUCAGUUCCUAGCAUACACACACACUGGGAGGCUAACAAACACUUGGGAAUUGACCUCUAGGGGCUCUGAUGCCUCUGACCUCCUUGGGUGCAUCUACUCCAGUGCACGUAUCUCCCCUCUCCAACAGAAAUGUACACAUGGAAUU
rnacentral:lncRNA from 1 species